rnacentral:rRNA from 1 species
AGUGAACGCUGGCGGUAGGCCUAACACAUGCAAGUCGAACGGCAGCACAGUAAGAGCUUGCUCUUACGGGUGGCGAGUGGCGGACGGGUGAGGAAUACAUCGGAAUCUACUUUUUCGUGGGGGAUAACGUAGGGAAACUUACGCUAAUACCGCAUACGACCUACGGGUGAAAGCAGGGGAUCUUCGGACCUUGCGCGAUUAAAUGAGCCGAUGUCGGAUUAGCUAGUUGGCGGGGUAAAGGCCCACCAAGGCGACGAUCCGUAGCUGGUCUGAGAGGAUGAUCAGCCACACUGGAACUGAGACACGGUCCAGACUCCUACGGGAGGCAGCAGUGGGGAAUAUUGGACAAAGGGCGCAAGCCUGAUCCAGCCAUACCGCGUGGGUGAAGAAGGCCUUCGGGUUGUAAAGCCCCUUUGUUGGGAAAGAAAAGCAGCAGGUUAAUACCCCGCUGUUCUGACGGUACCCAAAGAAUAAGCACCGGCUAACUUCGUG